ensembl:lncRNA
GAUAAGGCCUUACUUAGGCCUGGGAAAGGAAAGGCCUGGGAAAGGCCUGGGAAAGGCCUGGGAAAGGCCUGGGAAAGGCCUGGGUAAGGCCUGGGUAAGGCAUGGCAAAGUCCUGGGUAAGGCCUGGGUAAGGCCUGGGCAAGACCUGGGUAAGACCUGGGUAAGGCCUUGAAACUGAGGAAAGACAAGCAGCCAUAUCCUCACUCAACCUCUUUUAUUCCAGAAUCGUCCUCUAAAAACAAGGAAAUAGACUGAGCCAAAACACAUCACCUUCAUGGCUCAGACUCAAAUGGGACAUGUGCUGUCAAUGACAUAACCAACCAAGAACAACCAACCAGGACCGACCAACCAGGGCCAACCAGGACCAAUAAACACAGAGAAAACAGAGAUGAACACAGUGAAACUAACUGGAACAUGUGGGCGGGAUCAGUGGGUGUGUUCUGGAUCAGAAGCAUGGUUGACAAGAGGACAGGAAGUGUCAUGACUAAUGUAGUAGUUCCAAAAGGAUAUGACACACUGUGGAAAGCCUUGGAGCGCCUGUAUCUCACAGAACAGAACAGCAGCAGUACAACUGAGGACAUCCCUUCCUCUUCACUAUGUUCACUGUCUCAUUAGACUGUAAUAACAGCUGAGGACAUAUCUUCCUCUUUUCAUUAUGUUCACUGUCUCAUUAGACUGUAAUAACAGCUGAGGACAUAUCUUCCUCUUUUCAUUAUGUUCACUGUCUCAUUAGACUGUAAUAACAGCUGAGGACAUAUCUUCCUCUUUUCACUAUGUUCACUGUCCCAUUAGACUGUAAUAACAGCUGAGGACAUAUCUUCCUCUUUUCACUAUGUUCACUGUCCCAUUAGACUGUAAUAACAGCUGAGGACAUAUCUUCCUCUUUUCACUAUGUUCACUGUCCCAUUAGACUGUAAUAACAGCUGAGGACAUAUCUUCCUCUUUUCAUUAUGUUCACUGUCCAAUUAGACUGUAAUAACAGCUGAGGACAUAUCUUCCUAUUUUCAC